UCCGGAAACUGAGGCGCUGGGCCUAAGCUGGCCUGACGUCCCACGGCUGCCCAGGGCGGGGCCACAGGCCUGUGAAGCAGGGCUGUCUCUGCCAGGCGAGGCGACCAGCACCUACCACAGCACCACGAAAACGGCUCAGUGAAGUGACUCCUCCGUGGCACGCCUGCUUGCAACCCAGAGGACACUGAUGAUGAUGGCCACAGAUGCAUUCCCUCCACACUUCCCAAGUGUAUGCACCCGUGAGUGGCAGGGAGCACCCAAGGGGACGGAGAUGGUCUCAGGAGACCACGCCAUCAACGCCACGAGCCUGGGCGCCACGACAGGGAGGAGUCAAUGGGAGCACCCGGGCGGCUCAACGGUUGAGCACCUGCUUUCAACUCAGGGCGUGAUCCCAGGGUCCCGGGAUCAAGUCCCACAUCGGGCUCCCCACAGGGGAGCCUGCUUCUCCCUCUGCCUGUGUC